AUUGAACGCUGGCGGCAGGCCUAACACAUGCAAGUCGAACGGUAGCACAGAGAGCUUGCUCUCGGGUGACGAGUGGCGGACGGGUGAGUAAUGUCUGGGAAACUGCCCGAUGGAGGGGGAUAACUACUGGAAACGGUAGCUAAUACCGCAUAACGUCGCAAGACCAAAGUGGGGGACCUUCGGGCCUCACACCAUCGGAUGUGCCCAGAUGGGAUUAGCUAGUAGGUGGGGUAAUGGCUCACCUAGGCGACGAUCCCUAGCUGGUCUGAGAGGCUGACCAGCCACAGUGGAACUGAGACACGGUCCAGACUCCUACGGGGGGCAGCAGUGGGGAAUAUUGCACAAUGGGCGCAGGCCUGAUGGAGCCAUGCCGCGUGUAUGAAGAAGGACUUCGGGUUGUAAAGUACUUUCAGCGGGGAGGAAGGCGGUGAAGUUAAUAGCUUCACCGAUUGACGUUACCCGCAGAAGAAGCACCGGCUAACUCCGUGCCAGCCGCAGCCGUAA
rnacentral:rRNA from 1 species